rnacentral:misc_RNA from 1 species
AAACUUUCGUGAGAUCCAGAAUUAGAUGGGCACGUUAUUAUCUCAGAAGGGGAGAUCCUUUGAACGGAGAAGACUAGCCAACAGAGAAGGCUACUUCAGGAUUUACUCUGCAUGCAGUCGAAAAGGCAGGAAGGCAAGCUUCCCAUCGCAGAUGAAUCUCCGUGGAUGUAGAGAGAGCAAAUUGAAAAUCGGUUGGUCAGCUUGUCGGCAGGCAGAGAGAGGAUUUUCCCAAGCACACCAAGGGAAGCCUGUUGCUGCUCUCACAGUUUCUCUGGUCUCUAGAUCCAGUCCGCUCGGCAGGGAGGCUCGAGGAAGAGAUAUUUCGAUGGCGGAACUCGGACGAAAGUUUUGUACCACAGCCGAGAAUCUUGGUUAAUGAUCAUGUCAAUGAUCGGUUGAUCGAUUCUAUCGCGUGAAACAGAUUUAAUCUGGACAAAGAUACUGCGACGGAACACCCACCGAGCGUCCUUUAUUUUAUUGAAAAAUAUGCAAAUCGAUCAUGAGCGAGAUGGAGAGUCCAGAUAGGCGCCUAGAGGCUAUUUAUCUCUAGAUUUAUGACCAUGAUUUAAUCCCUUUUUUUUCUUGCAAUGCGAAUCCUCUGAUUUGUUGACUUUUUCAUUGAAGACAACUCUAAAUAACUGUCUAUGUCUUUGUACUUAAUUAAGUGGAAAGCGAAUAGCGGAUAAAAUACUUAUUAUGUAAUAAUAUAGGUAUAAAGUAAAUAAUGCACAAAAUACUUAAUUAUACAAUAGUGUAUCUA